rnacentral:rRNA from 1 species
UACAGAGGUCUCAAGCGUUGUUCGGAUUCAUUGGGCGUAAAGGGGGCGUGGGUGGCGCUGUAAGUCGGGUGUGAAAUUUCGGAGCUUAACUCCGAAACUGCAUUCGAUACUGCGGUGCUUGAGGACUGGAGAGGAGACUGGAAUUCAUGGUGUAGCAGUGAAAUGCGUAGAGAUCAUGAGGAAGACCAGUGGCGAAGGCGGGUCUCUGGACAGUUCCUGACACUGAGGCACGAAGGCCAGGGGAGCAAACGGG